rnacentral:rRNA from 1 species
UACGUAGGGACCAAGCGUUGUUCGGAAUUACUGGGCGUAAAGGGCGCGUAGGCGGCUUGGCAAGUUGGAUGUGAAAGCCCUGGGCUCAACCCGGGAACUGCAUUCAAAACUGCCUUGCUUGAAUUCGGUAGAGGUUGGUGGAAUUCCCAGUGUAGAGGUGAAAUUCGUAGAGAUUGGGAGGAACACCCGUGGCGAAGGCGGCCAACUGGACCGACAUUGACGCUGAGGCGCGAAAGCGUGGGGAUCA